rnacentral:rRNA from 1 species
GUUAUUUCUGCUCCAUGAUUAUUAAAUAGCCGCAGUACUCUGACUGUGCAAAGGUAGCAUAAUCAGUUGGCUCUUAAUUAGGGUCUGGUAUGAAAGAAAAUAUGGGCAGUAACUGUCUUAAUACAUUUAUUUGAAAUUAGUAAGCAAGUGCAAAUACUUGCACGCAUAAAAAAGACGAGAAGACCCUAGAAACUUGAAAUAAGUUUUGUUGGGGCGACAAAAUUACAUUUAACUAAUUUUAUAAGACAUGACACGAAGUUGAAAGAGUAAGUUACUCUAGGGAUAACAGCAUAAUUUUAAUAGUUUGUGACCUCGAUGUUGGACUAGGUAUUAUAUCUUUAAGGCAAAGUUAUAAAAGGCUCUGUUCGAGCGAAUACACCUACAU